AUUGAACGCUGGCGGCAUGCCUUACACAUGCAAGUCGAACGGCAGCGCGGACUUCGGUCUGGCGGCGAGUGGCGAACGGGUGAGUAAUACAUCGGAACGUACCCUGUUGUGGGGGAUAACUAGUCGAAAGAUUAGCUAAUACCGCAUACGACCUGAGGGUGAAAGUGGGGGACCGCAAGGCCUCACGCAGCAGGAGCGGCCGAUGUCUGAUUAGCUAGUUGGUGGGGUAAAGGCCCACCAAGGCGACGAUCAGUAGCUAGUCUGAGAGGACGAUCAGCCACACAGGGACUGGGACACGGGCCAGAACCCCAAGGGAGGGAGGAGGGGGGAAUUUUGGAAAAGGGGGGGAAGCCUGAUCCAAGCAUUGCGCGGUGGGGAAAAAGGGCUUUGGGUUUUAAAACCCUUUUGUGGGGAAAAAAAAGCGGCCGGGUAAAACCCCGGGGUGGGUGGGGGAACGGAAAAAAAAAGCCCGGGCAAACUACGG
rnacentral:rRNA from 1 species